ensembl:lncRNA
AUCAGCAGCAAGUGUACUCCUCUCUUCUUCAUGGUGAUCGUUGUGUCUAUGAGACAGUCAGAAGAUGUGAAAACACUGAAAAUGGUCCAGCAGAAGGUGAUUACACCAAUGUCACAUCUGUGAUUCAGCUCAAAGUCAUUAACAAGACAAGUGAGUGCACAAAAUGUGAGAUUUGAAAUGCAAAAUAUACAUUGGUAAUUAUUCUCACUGAUAAUAAAUGCAUUUGUGGACAAAACAGAGGGAGUUUGUUUUGAAAUGCUUUCAUUUGAUCACCUCAACAGGGCAACGUGGUGACCCAGAGGAGAGCUCUGACUACAAUGAUGUCAAUCCAAAUUCAGCCACAGCUCUAAAAUCUUAACAGCAG